AGAGUUUGAUCCUGGCUCAGAAUGAACGCUGGCGGCGUGCCUAACACAUGCAAGUCGAGCGAGAAAGGUCUUCGGACUGAGUACAGCGGCGGACGGGUGAGUAACGCGUGGGAAUCUACCCUUUAGUGAAGGAUACCCUCGAGAAAUCGAGGUUAAUACUGCAUAAGUCUAGAAAUAGAGAAAGGUGGCUUUAAUGCUAUCGCUAGUGGAGGAGCCCGCGUACUAUUAGCUAGUUGGUAGGGUAAGGGCCUACCAAGGCGAUGAUGGUUAACCGGCCCGAGAGGGUGUACGGUCACACUGGAACUGAGACACGGUCCAGACUCCUACGGGAGGCAGCAGUGAGGAAUAUUGCACAAUGGGCGAAAGCCUGAUGCAGCGACGCCGCGUGGAGGAUGAAGGCCUUAGGGUCGUAAACUUCUGUUAAGUGGGAAGAAAAGCAAGGCUCUAAUACAGCUUUGAAAUGACGGUACUACUAGAGAAAGCACCGGCUAAACUCGUGCCAGCAGCCGCGGUAAUACGAGUGGUGCGAGCGUUAUUCGGAAUUAUUGGGCGUACAGGGUGCGCAGGCGGUAUGUUAAGUCAAUUGUCAAAGACCUCGGCCUAACCGAGGACCGGCAGUAGAUACUGGCAUGCUAGAGGGUGGAAGAGAGAAGUGGAAUUCUUGGAGUAGCGGUAAAAUGCGUAGAUCUCAAGAGGAACACCGAUGGCGAAGGCAGCUUCUUGGUCCACAUCUGACGCUCAUGCACGAAAGCGUGGGGAGCAAACAGGAUUAGAUACCCUGGUAGUCCACGCUGUAAACGAUGAUCACUAGACGUUAGUCUCGCUCUGCGAGAUUAGUGUCGUAGCUAACGCGAUAAGUGAUCCGCCUGGGGACUACGGUCGCAAGAUUAAAACUCAAAUGAAUUGACGGGG
rnacentral:rRNA from 1 species